AUUGAACGCUGGCGGCAGGCCUAACACAUGCAAGUCGAGCGAGUGGCGGACGGGUGAGUAAUGUCUGGGAAACUGCCUGAUUGAGGGGGAUAACUCCUGGAAACGGUAGCUAAUACCGCAUACCAUCAGAUGUGCCCAGCUGGGAUUAGCUAGUUGGUGGGGUAACGGCUCACCAAGGCGACGAUCCCUAGCUGGUCUGAGAGGAUGACCAGCCACACUGGAACUGAGACACGGUCCAGACUCGUACGGGAGGCAGCAGUGGGGAAUAUUGCACAAUGGGCGCAAGCGUGAUGCAGCCAUGCCGCGUGUAUGAAGAAGGCCUUCGGGUUGUAAAGUACUUUCAGCGAGGAGGCGUUACUCGCAGAAGAAGCACCGGCUAACUCCGUGCCAGCAGCCGCGGUAAUAC
rnacentral:rRNA from 1 species